AAUUACAGCAUGAUGACAUGUAAACUAAAUUUUAAAAAAUGCCAAUGAAUUUCAGGUUUUAUUCAGUACGAAAUACUUCCGUCUUAUAAAGGAAAGCAAAAUCUCAUUUUAGUCGAAGGAUACACAUUUUCGAUACAAGGCGGGAAUCCGAACACUUACUAUUGCUCAAGGAAGAGCAAAGUUGGCUGCAAAGCCAGGCUUGGACUCAAGAAUAGGCUUAUCAUCAAACAUUAUCUCGUUCACAAUCAUCCACCUCCAUAUUUAGAAAGGACUUCUGAUGGUACAAUUAUUAGAAUUAAUACCUACAAUAAUGAUGUAUCCUGGACUUAAAAAUAACAAGUGAAUGUGCUGUGUUUAAAAAGAGAGGAAUUCUUCGUCAAAAACGGGAUUUUACUUUUCAAGUAUUGUCGUUUACUUGAUAAAAAUGUUACAAUUACGAAAUACUGCCGAUGAUAGGGAACAAAUCUGUCGUAUUGUUUCAAGAAUAUACGUAUUCGUUUCACAUGAAAGGUGGUCGGACUUUGCAGUGUUCAAGGAAGGUUAGCAUGGAUUGUGGGGCGUAUUUAAAGAUGGAUAAACGUCAAAGAAUCGAGUACGCUUACACGUAUCAUAACCAUGCUCCUUCUAUAUACAGAAAGAUGUCCAAUGGGCUGUAUGUGAAGGUGCAAUAAUUCAAAAUGCGACCGUUCCUAUCUGAUUUCGACUGCAUUGUUGUUAUAGAAAAAUUGAAGAUUAUACUUACGAAUUUUUCGAGACACAGCGCGGAGGCCGCGUGUUGUACUUAGAGGGCAAUACGUUUGUCAAAAUGAAUAAAGGUUCUCAUAACUGGUACUGCUCAAAGAGGAUUUCAAGGAAUUGUCGCGCUAAAGUCAAAAUGGACGACACGGGCUUGAGUGUCAUUUAUGCAUCGCUAGAACACACCCACCCAUCAUUGGCACCCAACAGUCACUCGCAAUAAAUAUAUUUCGUUUCACUUUUUAACUUCAUUUCAGAAUCCAUAUUUAUUUAUUAUAUUUCGAAAAAUUUAGUGGUGGUACAAGUUAAGAUUCACGUAUUCUAACCAUUGGGGCCAUCACAGUUUUUUUAUCCUGCUGGUACACAAUCAUUAACAAUACACAAAGUAAUCAUACUGUAAUAAAUGCAAACACAACAAGGAAAAAUAUAAAAGUAACUUUAACUAGAGAGUUAAUUUUUUUUCCAUGCUCUCUCCGAGUUGCUAGCAGCAGCUUUUCAACAAAGUUGCUAAUAACACAAGUUUAUAUUUAAACGCAAGGUAUCAUACAUGAAGAAUAUGAUGGUUCAUAUACUAACUUUUUUCAAUAUCAGUACCAGUAUCAGUUUGCCAUAUCAGUACCUCUUUAUAUAACUGCUUUCAAAGUAUUAACAUUACUAUUAGUUUUUUUAUGUUUUUUUUACUUACAAUAUAUGUAUGUCACAAUCAGAAAUCUAUUAGUUACAACAGGUUUUUUCCUGUACAUCUAUCUUCUGGGUAAUGGGAAUACCCUUUUCCCAGAGAAUAAGUUUACAAUCACACUGUAUAUAUUGUAUAACAGUAGAAGAAACGAAUGAUUAUGACAUUACAUUAAAUAGUGGUUUCAUACAAAUAAAUCUUAACUGGUGGUAGGGCUUUGUGCAAGCUCGUCUGGGUACCACCCUCUCAUCAGAUAUUCUACCGCAAAACAGCAAUGCUUGAUAUUGUGUUCCGGUUUGAAGGGUGAGUGCGCCAGUGUAAUUACAGGCACAAGGGACAUAAAAUCUUAGUUCCCAAGGUUGGUGGUGCAUUGGCUAUGUAAGCGAUGGUUGACGUUUGGUGACUACUUACCAUCAGGUGGCCCAUAAGCUCGUCCGCCUUCCUAUUCCUAUAAAAAAAAAAAUUAGACGCGAUGGUCGAUGAAAUAAUUGCGAAAACAUAACCAUUCGUUUCUUCUACUGUGAUAUAAUAUAUGAGAUUGUACGUAUAGGCUUAAAUCGCACUGUGAAGUCACAACGUUUCUUUUUAAUGUAAGUGCGAUAAAAUUCACAUGAUUUCAAGUGUUACCGAAAUGCAAAUAUAAAACCAUGCGUUACGUAUUCGGAAUACAUGUAAGCCCGAACAUAAAUAAAACUAACCCAGGUUAGUUUUCAUAUAUUUAAAUAAAAGUACUUUAAAUUAAUCGUUGAUAUAAUAUACUUGGUGGUAGGGCUUUAUACAAGCCCGUCUGGGUAGUUACCACCCACUCGUCAGAUAUUCUACCGGCAAACAGCAAUACUUAGUAUUACUAUAUUCUGUUUUGGAUGAGUGAGCCAGUAUAACUAUAGGCACAAGGGAUAUAACAUGUUAGUUCCCAAGGUUAGUGGCACAUUGGUUGUGUAAGGAAUGGGUACUAAUUCUUAAAGCGCCAAUGUCUAUGGUUGGUGGUGAUCGUGCGGCUAGUCAUAAAUGCGGUUCAUGGUUUUUUUUAAUCAAUUAUAUCUUAAAUAAUCAUAU